AACGAACGCUGGCGGCAUGCCUAACACAUGCCAGUCGAACGAGACCUUCGGGUCUAGUGGCGCACGGGUGCGUAACGCGUGGGAACCUGCCCUUAGGUUCGGAAUAACUCCCCGAAAGGGGUGCUAAUACCGGUUAAUGUCUUCGGACCAAAGAUUUUUCGCCUUUGGAUGGGCCCGCGUUGGAUUAGCUAGUUGGUAGGGUAAAAGCCUACCAAGGCGAGGAUCCAUAGCUGGUCGGAGAGGAGGACCAGCCACACUGGGACUGAGACACGGCCCAGAAUCGGACGGGAGGGAGCAGUGGGGAAUAUUGGAGAAGGGGGGAAAGCCUGAUCCAGCAAUGCCGCGUGAGUGAUGAAGGCCUUAGGGUUGUAAAGCUCUUUUACCCGGGACGAUAAUGACAGUACCGGGAGAAUAAGCACCGGCUAACUCCGUG
rnacentral:rRNA from 1 species